rnacentral:rRNA from 1 species
UACGUAGGUGACCAGCGUUGUCCGGAUUUACUGGGCGUAAAGAGCGCGCAGGCGGUCGUUCAAGUCGAGUGUGAAAGCCCCCGGCUCAACUGGGGAGGGUCAUUCGAUGCUGAUCGACUGGAAGGCAGGAGAGGGAAGCGGAAUUCCCGGUGUAGUGGUGAAAUGCGUAGAUAUCGGGAGGAACACCAGUGGCGAAGGCGGCUUCCUGGCCUGUUCUUGACGCUGAGGCGCGAAAGCUAGGGGAGCAAACGGG